rnacentral:rRNA from 1 species
UACGGAGGAUCCAAGCGUUAUCCGGAUUUAUUGGGUUUAAAGGGUGCGUAGGCGGCUUAUUAAGUCAGGGGUGAAAGCCGGUGGCUCAACCAUCGCAGUGCCCUUGAUACUGAUGAGCUUGAAUACACUUGAGGUAGGCGGAAUGUGACAAGUAGCGGUGAAAUGCAUAGAUAUGUCACAGAACACCAAUUGCGAAGGCAGCUUACUAAGGUGCAAUUGACGCUGAGGCACGAAAGCGUGGGGAGCAAACAGG